CCUACGGGUGGCAGCAGUAGGGAAUAUUGCUCAAUGGGGGAAACCCUGAAGCAGCAACGCUGCGUGGAGGAUGAAGGUUUUCGGAUUGUAAACUCCUUUUGUUAGAGAAGAUAAUGACGGUAUCUAAAGAAUAAGCACCGGCUAACUCCGUGCCAGCAGCCGCGGGAAUACGGAGGGUGCAAGCGUUACUCGGAAUCACUGGGCGUAAAGAGCGCGUAGGCGGGAUAGCAAGACAGAUGUGAAAGCCUAUGGCUUAACCAUAGAAAGGCAUUUGAGACUGUAAGUCUAGAGUAUGUGAGAGGUAGGUGGAAUUCUAAGUGUAGGAGUAAAAUCCGUAGAUAUUAAGAAGAAUACUCAUGGCGAAGGCGGCCUGCUAGAACGUAACUGACGCUGAUACGCGAAAGCGUGGGGAGCAAACAGGAUUAGAUACCCUUGUAGUC
rnacentral:rRNA from 1 species